rnacentral:rRNA from 1 species
AACGUAGGUGGCAAGCGUUAUCCGGAAUUACUGGGCGUAAAGCGUGCGCAGGCGGUAAGUUAAGUCUGAUGUGAAAGCCCCGGGCUCAACCUGGGAAUGGCAUUGGAAACUGGCUUGCUAGAGUGUGGCAGAGGGGGGUGGAAUUCCGCGUGUAGCAGUGAAAUGCGUAGAGAUGCGGAGGAACACCGAUGGCGAAGGCAGCCCCCUGGGCUGACACUGACGCUCAGGCACGAAAGCGUGGGGAGCAAACAGG